rnacentral:rRNA from 1 species
AUGGCCACUAGCACUAAGCUUGCAGCUCUUGGCUUUGUUGUCCUUGUGAGCAUUGGGUUCGCCGAUGCAGCAAGGAUGCUAGCUAGCUCCUCCAGUGCUUCGGGUGGUGGUGGAGGAGGUGGAGGGGGAGGCGGUGCGAAUGGUGGGAGUGGAUAUGGUGCAGGUUCUGGGUCAGGUGGAGGCUUAGGAUAUAGUGAGAGCGGCGGAGAUUGGGGUAAGAAGUGGAACUUCGCCAAGGGAUUUGGUGGAGGAGGAGGAGCUGGUGGUGGCGGAGGAUCAAAGGGUGGAUCCGGGUCUGGUUCCGGAUCCGGCUUCGGCACUGGCAGCGGCGCGACUGGCUCCGCAUCGGCCCCUAGCGGUGAUGGUUAUGCUAGUGCUGAUGGUAAGGGUGGAGGCGGCGGCGGAGGUGGCGGUGCAAACGGAUCUAGCGGAACCGGAGCCGGAGAUGGCCUUGGCAAGGGAUAUGGUGAGAGUGGCGUGUCAAAGGCACCGGCUCCUGCUGCCGGUGGCGAUGGUACUAGCUACUCUGAUGCUGGCGGUAGUGGUAACGGUGGUGGAGGCGGUAACAACGGAAAUGGAGGUGGUGCCGGCGCUGGCGCUGGACAGGCCGGCAGCGACGACACUUCUGGAGGCUUUGCAAAUGGAGGAGGAAGCGGCAACGGUGGUGGCGCAAUUGGAGGUGGCGCUGAAGGUCCUAGCGUUGGGGUUGGAUCUGGUGCUGGGUCUGGCGCCGGUCAGACCGGUAGCACUGGCUCUUAUGGCGAUGGAUAUGCCACGGGAAUGGGCGGUGGCAUGGGUGGCGGCACCGGUGAGAGCCAGAAUGGCGGAACUGGCAGCGGUGGAGGUAGUGGAUCCGGAUCAGGUAGUGGAGGAUACAACUAA